rnacentral:lncRNA from 1 species
AUAACCAAAGGUCAAAAAUCGUGUGGGGAAAAAAGGAAAACUUGUAGGUUUGGAAGUAACAUUAUGUUAUACUGUUAUUCUGUACACUCUAGGUGGAGGUCACACCUUUAAUGCAAUAUCAGCCCUGUUUUGUAAACGAGCAGACUGACUCUCAGAGAGAAGUGCCUUGUCCUGAAUUUCACUCAGUGCUGACUAUUAAAGAUAAUUUAAUUGAUCUCACCUCUUAUUUGGUUUGGAUACGUGAAAUCCCAUCAAGUUAA